AGACCCGAAACCCGGUGAUCUAGCCAUGGGCAGGUUGAAGGUUGGGUAACACUAACUGGAGGACCGAACCGACUAAUGUUGAAAAAUUAGCGGAUGACUUGUGGCUGGGGGUGAAAGGCCAAUCAAACCGGGAGAUAGCUGGUUCUCCCCGAAAGCUAUUUAGGUAGCGCCUCGUGAAUUCAUCUCCGGGGGUAGAGCACUGUUUCGGCAAGGGGGUCAUCCCGACUUACCAACCCGAUGCAAACUGCGAAUACCGGAGAAUGUUAUCACGGGAGACACACGGCGGGUGCUAACGUCCGUCGUGAAGAGGGAAACAACCCAGACCGCCAGCUAAGGUCCCAAAGUCAUGGUUAAGUGGGA
rnacentral:rRNA from 1 species